CUUUCUAAGCUCCAUCUGACAGUUUAACUGUCAGGCUCUAACUUUUAACUGCCUCCAGAAUGGAUGACACACCACCUGGGUCUGAUCGCUUCUGGGUCUUCAAGAGGCAGACCCAAGGUCCGUCCAUCACACUCCAAUUAACAUUACACUAUUUGUGUUUUAAUAGGCCUGAGUUUCAAUAAGUCUGCCAAAGAGCUUGCUUUGCCUGUGUUUAAUGGAUUUUUUAUACUAUUUUAAUUCUAUUAGUGUUUAAUUACACCUUUUCUAUGUUUUUAGCUUGUUCUGUUUUAUCUGUGGGAAAGACAUGAUGAUGAUGAUGAUGAUGAUGAUGAUGUGUUUUAUAAUGAUGAUGAUGAUGAUGAUGAUGUGUUUUAGAAGAUGUGACCAACAUAACAUAUUUAUAUUAAUUUAUUAAAUAAAUAUAACAGUAGUGGUAGCAGUGAUUGGGGUAGUAGUAGUAGUAAUAACAACCACAAGAAUGUAUCUGUAACUUGGAUUACUAUUUCCUCUUGCAGCUCUAUGUGCUUUUCAAAACUUUGAUUAAUUCUACUAUAACCACUUUUGAUAAAGGUCCUUUAGAAAAGUUAAAUCUGUGUGUGUACUCUUUCUGUCUCUCUAUGAGGAAUAGAAGUGACCAGCAGCACUUCCUCAAAAAUCCAAAAACAUCCACAGGCCUAAAUAGGUUGGUGAUCCCUGCAAUGAAGUGUUUAAUUAAUCACUUUGCCUGCCUAGGCUUCUGUUGGUCUGUGCAGUUUCAUACACAUGUCUGCCAGAAUACAGUAACCAAAUGGCUUAGGGGGAUCCAUUAAUUAGUGUGAUCUUUUAGCAGAGUAAGGCCGAGUAAGGCCAAGGAGUUGUACGCACAGCCAGUUUUAAUGACUUUGCAUGAUCUGCCCCAAAGAAUAAUUCCAGAAAACCUACGUCAUGCCAAUCAUUUAAAAAAUGACAUUGCAUCUAUAAAAAUGAAUGAUUCUGGCAUUUGAUUAUUUAUAAUAUUUGGAGGGCGGAAACAAUGUCAGUCUAAUGUCCAUUACAAAGCACUGCAAUAUGUUAAAGCACUGCUGUUGCAACCUUUCACAUUAUGACACCCAUGAAAGAAGAGGAACUCUGACAUUUGAAAGGAAACGACCAGCUGCAGGUGUACAGCUGAAGCCAACCAUUAUUCAUUCUACUACCAAAGAUGACCCUCCAACACUACUGUUAUUUUUUCAAACUAUAUUAUAAUCAGGACAGCAAGGAUUAAUGCUGUUUGAUUGCAAGGUCAUCCCAUAGGCAGGUGCUAGAUAAUAUUUGUCCACCCACACACACACAGCCACAGUCCUCUUCAACUUCCUUCCUGUUACAGCUCAGAAUCAGAAAUUAAUCAUUUAGAAUUGUAUUAUACUGUUUGCUGACGUGUUCUUUUUCCUUUCUUCAAUUGGAGAUUAGGGGAGAUUAUGCAGUAAUAUAAGCAAACCGGUUUUUUUUAAUACUGGGUAGAGCUACCUGUUCAUUUCCAGCACCAUUGUAAUCGAAAGCUGGUAGAUCUGUUCCCAUUGACUACAGAUUUAGGGUACAGCCAAAGUGGUCUUUGACAUGACUGGAAGCACUGCCAGCCAGUUGGGCCAGUCACUGUUAGGAGGGUGUAUAUGUCACUUCCUGCCAGUUUGCAUAGGGUUGGUGGGACUUCCUAAAAUGUUCAAAGUAAUUGUCACACAGCUCUAAUUAUGGAGCUCAGUCCUUCCAUUUCAGUACCUCUUAGACUCACAACGGGUUGACUCCAAUUAGCUUCUACUCAGAAGUAGACCCAUUGAAAUUAAUGGAUCUUAGUUAGUUAUAGCCAUUAAUUUCAGUGGGUAAACUCUGAAUGUGACUAACUUUGCAAACAAUGCAAGUGCAACAGAAGAAAGAGAAGAUAGUGAGACAGGAGGAUUAACCUAAAAAUAAAUAAUAAAAAAACAGAUGUGUUUUCGAUUCAAUGCCCUUUCAAAAUGUGUUUGGUGGGGUUUACUGGGUUGUUCUUGUUUUUGUUUUUAUUAUGUAUUUUGUGUUUUUAUAUUGUGAUUUUGUCCUGUGAAUCGUCCUGAGACCUGCAGGUAUAGGGUGGUAUACAAAAUAUAAUAAUAAUAAUAAUAAUAAUAAUAAUAAUAAUAAUAGUUUCAGCUUUUUGCUUCCUGAAAUGGAUCCUAAAUUGUACGCAGUCAAACAUACACACAUGCCUGAAACAGAAACCAAAUGCUAAUUCCCUGCUAUGGAAAAUGCUUUAAAAGAUCUUGCUGCACCAUUCAGGCUGCAGUCCUGAACAUAUUUAUUGGGAGUAAGCCCAAUUUAAUACAUUAAGAUUUCAUUCUAAGUAAAAAUGAAUGGGAUUGUAUUAUUAUUAUUAUUAUUAUUAUUAUUAUUAUUAUUAUUAUACAUUUGUAUAAUUUUGUAUUUCAGUAUACUAAAUUUCAGCUGAUGCAGGUAUGAAAGGGUAAACCCAAUUGCAGACCAAAACUAUUCUGGCAUUUGAUUUUUAGCAGUGUCAGCACAGAGACUCCUAUCUUCCCAUACAAUGGAGCUCUAAUGGCUAGUGUGCACUACCACUGGCUGUGUGCGCCAUUUUGUUCUCUUUGCUUAUGGCAGUAUAUGAUGGCAUUGGGCUUGUCCAACUUUCUUCUGCAGUUGUAUGCAACAUUCAGCUUCUGCUCAUGGUAGAGAAUCAUCCCCCAUUUUCAGGCUGGUUCCACAACAGAGGAAAGUAUGUUGUAGUCAUUAGAGUAUGGCUGGAGCCAAUGAGAAUGGCUCCCACCACUUCAGAAUGCACACUAAUGCAUGGAAGAAUCAAACUGGCAGUACAAGAAGCUCAUGUGCUGUCCUAUCCUUUAUGAGGCUGAUGUUUCUUCCUGAUUUCCCAAGCUUACUUGAAACUUCUAAGGUAACACAGAUUAGGAUCCCAGUCUUUACAUAGGAAUAUAAUAUCAACUUGAUUGGGUCAACCAAAAUCCUGUCAUCCAAAACUGAGAAUACUGGUUGCUGAGAGGAAGCAUGCAAUAAAAAAACCAGCAUGUUCCAAUUUCUGUCCUUCGCUCUGAGCAUUUGGCAGUCUAAUGCUUAGAGGUGUUUUCAUCAAGGUGUCCAAAGCCACAAGCCUUCAGGUUCAAACAGAGCCACAUCAGAGCCCACCAGAGCACCUGGAAAUUGCCAGAGAUGGCAUGAAGGGAAGGCUUCCCCUAAACUGUGCAAUCCAGCUGAAAUGUGCACUUAGACUUUGACCCAUGAUGAACAGUGAGAUGGAAAAAGAAAGCAUGUUGCAGAAGAAAUUAAACCUUAAGCAGUUCUUAAAUAACUAGAUGAUGCUGAAGCUAAGGAAAUAUGCUCAAUUUAAAUAAUGCUUCUUUAAGUUAUUGUUUUAAAAUGUUUACACUUCGUUCUGCCCUGUAGCUGUAAAUAAGAAAGAACUUUCAGGCCACCAGACUUUUAAAAGUUUGGAAGUUUAGCCAAGAGAGUAUAUCGGACAAGGUAGUUUUCUAUGCACAUUACAGGCAAUGGCCAGGAAAUGAAACACCUGUGGAAGGCCAGACCCCUUUUUCUUCUUCUUUUUUUGCUGAAGGCAUAGGGAUGGCAUGGAAAUUAAUUUAGCUUGUAUUUUUAUGCAGAUUUGCCAAAUUCACCCUUCCUGAAAAAGUGCCCCAAUCCUUUAAAAUUCAGACCUCUCUGAAUUUUGUAAUGUGUUUCUCCUACUUAAUGUGUGAAUUAAGAAAGAGCAGAGGGCCAGCUUAGAGCUUGGGAAAGGACUUCUGAUUUUGGCAGGAUUUGUUGUGGACAGGAGUGCUAUGUGCCUCUGCCAUGCUUACCUUCCAUAUUUUUGAAUACAGUAAAUCCAAGCAUGAAAAACUGCUGCAGCUCUCCAGUGACCCUUCUUGCUGAAAGGAACCCAGUCUAGAUAAGCACUCUCUCUCUGAAGCUUAUUUCUACCUAGGGACAGUGAAGCAAUAUGUCAGCGACUAUCUGGGC